GCUUCCCCGGCCAAAUCCGGCCGAUCCGGCCACCAAUUGGACCGGGUCUUGUGUCUAAAAUCAUCUACUCGGCGAGAGCUUUCCAUAGACACCAAGAACGCCGAAAUCCAUCGAGCGGUUUGUCCGAUUUUUGCUCGGGAAGAUUUUAGCCCAUUUCGACUUUUGGGCUAGAUUUCUCGAAAACCGUGAAUCCCACGAGAAAACCGAGGCUACCAGCGCGCUCCACUCGUCGAGAGCUUCGCGGCGACAUAAAUUUCAAAUUUUUCCGACACCGUUUUUCGGUAUCCUCAAUUCGCGGAAAUUCGACAGUUGACCGGGUCUGCAAAUUUCGGGCCAGACAGACCCGUUACCGGAAAAGUCUCCGAAUUGGACCGAGGUUUUGGCUAGCCCCCCAUUGUCAGACGUCCCGAGCGCGUUCCCGAAGUCGGAAUCGGCAAAGGUGAGCCGGGACAGCCUUCUUCCUCCGCCCAGCCGCCACAGUGAUUGUCAUAAAGUCUGUGAGUAAAAUAUUAAUUUUAAUUGUAAUUUCACUAUUAUUAUAUGUUCAAGCAUGCUCAUGCAUCACUUA